GACGAACGCUGGCGGCGUGCCUAAUACAUGCAAGUCGAACGAGAGCGCCCGGUGCUUGCACUGGUCAAUCUAGUGGCGAACGGGUGAGUAACACGUGGGUAACCUGCCCAUCAGAGGGGGAUAACAUCCGGAAACGGAUGCUAAAACCGCAUAGGUCUUCGAACCGCAUGGUUUGAAGAGGAAAAGAGGCGCAAGCUUCUGCUGAUGGAUGGACCCGCGGUGCAUUAGCUAGUUGGUGAGGUAACGGCUCACCAAGGCCGUGAUGCAUAGCCGACCUGAGAGGGUGAUCGGCCACAUUGGGACUGAGACACGGCCCAAACUCCUACGGGAGGCAGCAGUAGGGAAUCUUCCGCAAUGGACGCAAGUCUGACGGAGCAACGCCGCGUGAGUGAAGAAGGUUUUCGGAUCGUAAAACUCUGUUGUUAGGGAAGAACAAGUGCUAGAGUAACUGUUAGCGCCUUGACGGUAUCUAACCAGAAAGCCACGGCUAACUACGUG
rnacentral:rRNA from 1 species